rnacentral:misc_RNA from 1 species
GAAUUCUAUAUGACCACAACUUGGUAACAAUAUAGAUCAUUUUGCAUCAAGAUUCCCUUCAGCUUGACCAUGGACUUGGAGCUUUUGUGUCUUAUGCAUGAUCACAGAAAGCCUCUGGCUGAUGAUGCUUGGAUCACUAUAUGCUGCAGAAUCAGAAGGAUAACCUUUAGCAGAGAUAGACUGAAAGGUGGCUUCUCUCCAGCAGCUUUCUCGAAGAAUGACAGGGCCAGUGCAAUCACCAAAAGCGCAAUGCAUGCGAGUGUCCCUUAAUCUCAUCAAGACUCCGUCAACUCUAAGCCAGAAUCGCAACAGAAGAAACCAACAACUGGGCAUGACUCUCACUUUCACAGUUAAAAGGGACACUCCAUUAUCAGCAAGUUCAUCUUCAUACAAGACUACCUCAUCAUAGAAAAGAAUAGGCUCUUUUGAUGACAGGGAAACCACAUCAAUUUGCUCCUUGCAGUCCCCCCAACAGAGGCUUGAGCUUGUCUCCAAGAUUUCCCCACUUUCAUUCUUCUUGGAGUCUACCUCGAUUGUUUCACUUCCACAAUAUGGUGUAGUGAAUGUAUAGUCGUAAUCUAGUAUCACCUGCUGGGACGGUUUGCUUCUGAAUUUCCAUUUUUCGGCCGCAGGAACUUCUACUGGUGGCAAAGCUUCCUGCUUCCAGCCAGUAAGGGCAUCAAAUGCAUUGAAAUAGAUUUUGGUGCCACUAUUCUCAUGUUUAAGAACUAAAGAACUGUCCCCAAAAACCAUCUCUGGUAAGUGAGAUGUCAGAAGCUUUUGUUCCCAUUGUAGAAGAGUGGAGGAGUUGAGAAUGGAGCCCUUGCUGGAAAAGAUCUCCCAGCCAUGGAUACGCAGUCCACGGCGACCGUCAUCAGUCAACAGCUCGGCGCCGGCAGCUUUCAGGUCCUUCUCGUCGACUUCCACUGCCAUGUUCGUGAGCUUCUUCGUUUACUUUUCGAAAAUUACCGAUUACAACGGUUCCCCGUUUUUUAUCUCGUUUUUGUCUUCGCGUCUUCCUUCGGUUUCUG